rnacentral:rRNA from 1 species
UACGGGGGGGGCAAGCGUUGUUCGGAAUUACUGGGCGUAAAGGGCUCGUAGGCGGCCAACUAAGUCGGACGUGAAAUCCCCAGGCUCAACCUGGGAACUGCGUCCGAUACUGGAUGGCUUGAAUUCGGGAGAGGGAUGCAGAAUUCCAGGUGUAGCGGUGAAAUGCGUAGAUAUCGGGAGGAACACCGGUGGCGAAGGCGACUACCUGGCCCAUUCUUGACGCUGAGGCGCGAAAGCUAGGGGAGCGAACGGG